UAUACAAGAGUGACGUGAUCUGUUGGCUCGCGUCAUUUGAAAUUUAAUUAAACGGCAAGCCAACAAUUAUGACGCGAGCCAACAGAUCACGUCACUCUUGUAU
rnacentral:miRNA from 1 species